rnacentral:tRNA from 1 species
GGAAGCGUGCCGGAGUGGUCUAACGGUGCCGCCUCGAAAGCGGAUGGCCGACGAAGAGUCGGCACGCGAGUUCAACUCCCGCCGCUUCCACCA